GUUACGGGAACUGACACGACUACGUGUGCUGGAUUUGAGCUAUAACCGGAUAGUCCGAAUUGGACAUGGCUUGGCUUCUUGCUCAUCAUUGAAGGAGUUGUAUUUAGCUGGAAAUAAAAUUAGUGAGGUAGAGGGUCUUCACCGACUCUUAAAAUUGUGCAUACUCGACUUGCGCUUUAACAAGAUCUCAACAACCAAGAGUCUUGGCCAACUCGCUGCCAAUUACAAUUCUUUGCAAGCAAUCAGCUUGGAAGGCAACCCAGCACAGAAGAAUGUUGGAGACGAC
rnacentral:misc_RNA from 1 species